CCUAUUUUGAGGUUCAGAAAAAUAAAAAUAUCCCAUGUGGCUCUUUGUUUCCCUGUAGGCUCUGCAGACCUCCUGCCAUCCUGGUCUGGAAGAAGAUGGCAGGAGGAAGAAAUGCCAAGGAAAACAUGAAGGUAAUGUCUGUUUCCAAGGAUAUGUUCAGAGUAAAUAGGAAACUCCCUAGAAAUCAGUUAUACUUGCUUGCCUUCUCUUCUUUGCCAUUCAGAUGAUAUAAUAGUUGAAGACCUGGAGGGAGAGCAGGGGCUUUGAAGUUCUCAUCAUCUGUGCAGCAGACCGAGAAGACAAACAGGUCACCUAGUCACAGUCAUCCCUGCUAUGGGCACAGGACUUUGGUUAUAACAUCAGUAUGGAACAGUGGGAAAGGUUAUGGCAGCAAGAUAUCAAAUUUACAUCAUGUUAUAAUUUGAGGGAAAAUACCAUGAAGAUGCUCUACCGAUGGCAUCAUACCCCAGCUAAACUCACCAAUAUGUAUAAAGGAAGCUCACCAAUAUGUUGGCGUUGCAAAAAGGAGAUAGGAUCAUAUUACCAUAUGUGGUGGACUUGUAUGGUGAUAAGCGAGUUUUGGAAUAACAUAUAUGAUGAAUUAAAAAAACUAUUUAAACUUAAAGAAAAGACCGGAGAUUUUCCUUCUAGGAAUAUUACCAACAGAAAUAAAGCAAAACACAAGACCACUGUUUAUGUACUCAAUUACAGCUGCAAGAAUACUCGUAGCCAGAAGUUGGAAAUGUGAAACAAUACCAACAAUAAUAGACUGGCAAACACUCAUGGUAGAGUAUUUUCACUUAGCAAAGCUGACUGGAAAAGUUAGGGGAGCCCUAAAUCAAAAAAUAUAGAGAGAAUGGAUAUUAUUCAAGGAGUAUAUAAGAUCACACUGUAAAAAUGAAAUUAUCCUGGCAGAAUUGAAUGAUACUUGUGUAUAAUAAAUAAUUG